rnacentral:rRNA from 1 species
UCAGACGAUGCGUCAUGCAUAUCAAUAAGCGGAGGAAAAGAAACUAACUAGGAUUCCCUCAGUAACGGCGAGUGAAGCGGGAAGAGCUCAAAUUUGAAAUCUUCAAGGUUUUACCUUGACGAAUUGUAGUUUAAAGAAGUGUUUUCUGUUGGAGUUUUGGUAAAAGUUCUUUGGAAAAGGACAUCAUAGAGGGUGAGAAUCCCGUAUUUGACCAUUAUCUCCAGCUUUGUGAUACACUUUCAAAGAGUCGGAUUGUUUGGGAAUGCAGUCCAAAAUGGGUGGUAAAUUUCAUCUAAAGCUAAAUAUUGGCGAGAGACCGAUAGCGAACAAGUACCGUGAGGGAAAGAUGAAAAGAACUUUGAAAAGAGAGUUAAACAGUACGUGAAAUUGUCAAAAGGGAAGCGUUUGACACCAGUGUUGUUUUCUCGAAAAUCAAUUAAAAAGAGUUGGAUUUUGUGUUGUAUUGACCUUAACAGCUUGCUUCACUCUUUUCCUGCUUUUUUUAAUGCACUUUUCGUUUAACAAGUCAACAUCAGUUUCUUUUGUUGUAAAAGGGUCAUUGGAAGGUGGCUUUCUCUUCGGAGAAAGUGUUUAUAGCCUUUGAUCUCUGCAAUCGGAGAGACUGAGGUCUGCAGCGUAGAUCCUUCGGGGUUAGAUACAUUUGUGCUAAGCUACAGCUUUUCAUAGACAACUUGUUGACUAUGUUUAGUCUUGUAACUUACCCGCUUAUGCUAUUUUACCUACGCUUAGGAUGUUGAUAUGCAUGACUGAUAU